rnacentral:sRNA from 1 species
CCAUAGCCCUGAUAGCAGCGGCAUCCUUUUUCUGGCUCCCUUUUUGGAGGCUAAAAAAGAUACAGCGAAUAGCAGGAAAUUGC